rnacentral:rRNA from 1 species
GACAGCAGUAGCCACGGUAAUACGAGGGGGGCAAGCGUUGUUCGGAAUUAUUGGGCGUAAAGGGUGCGUAAGCGGUUUGACAAGUCUUGUGUGAAAUCUCUGGGCCCAACCCAGAGUCUGCACGGGAAACUGUCGGGCUAGAGGAUGGGAGAGGUGAGUGGAAUUUCCGGUGUAGCGGUGAAAUGCGUAGAUAUCGGAAGGAACACCUGUGGCGAAAGCGGCUCACUGGACCAUUUCUGACGCUGAUGCACGAAAGCUAGGGGAGCAAACAGGAUUAGAUACCCCAGUAGUCCCUGUCUCUUAUAC